AUGAAGGCGCGGCAGUUCUUGAAUGUGGUGAUGCAGAGGUCUGGCAGUGGCAGCUUGUACACGGUGAGCCGCAUCAAGGCCGGGGAGCAACUCUUCUACCGGUCCACGGCGGAAGCACGGGCGGCGGCAGCAGCAGCGCAACCCAAGGAGGGGAAUACGACGCUGCCAUCAUCAGCCGUGGCGCCACCAUGGACGGAGAACAUCUCGCGGAUGCCUCCGCCCAGGCUCAGAUUGGAAGCAUACCGCUUAGACGGCCCAAGGCUCGAUUUUUUGCCCUUCUACGGACAAGGCAGGGGCGAUGGUAAGAUCCUCUCAAUGGACUCGGCGGGCAACACCGUCCUCUGCAACGCCGUCAGCGGCUCCAUCCAGCCCGUUCCCUGCCUUAACGAACCCAAGGGGGACAGCCCCGUCUCCUUGUCUAUCACUCGUGCGGACACCUCCCAUCAAGCCUUGUACGUUAUGGACAGGUUUCCCGCAGCUCGCAAUGCUUUCAUCUUCGAAGCCCUCAUCUACGGCAAGAAUAGCUGGGAGUGGCACCGGCUCCCUCGGCCGCCCUACGUCAACAACCCAGCCUAUAACUGCACAGCCAUCCAGUCCUACAUGUUGCUUGGUGAUGGCUCGACCAUCUGCAUAUCCUCCGCUGGGCCAAGCUCCAUCGGCACCUACUGCUUUGAUACGGUUAGCUGCACCUGGGAAAAGGUUGGCCGCUGGACCCUGCCAUUCCAUGGACAGGCUGAGCAUGUCCCUGAGCUUUGCAAUCUCUGGUUCGGCAUGGCCGGCAACAGCGCCAACAACUUGUGCACGCUGGACCUCUCCAACCUUGGCAGGGCUCCCAAGUUGCUGCAUAACUGGCAGGUCCUCGACACGCCUCAUGGAUGGGUGCAGAUAAGGGGUAGCCUGCUGUACCUUGGAGCCGGCAGGUUUUGCAUCUUCAAAAGUUUUGACACCGGGGAGCAAGACGCUCAGGGUAAUCCCAGCAACACAGCGGCUGUGCUUACCGGUGUGGAGGUAGUCCACAGAGGAUCAUCUGAACUCCAAAUGAUCAAGCACAAGUCAUUUAUCAGCUAUGCCGGCAUCCAGUGUGUUCUUUAA
rnacentral:rRNA from 1 species